GGGGUGUGCUCAGAGCAGGGGCCUGAAGAGUGGCUGCUCUGUUUAUAACACACCCAAUAGGAAUCUGGGGCCACUGUGAGGAGGGGCACAAGAUAUGUGUCCUAUGAACAAAUGCCCUACAUGU
rnacentral:snoRNA from 1 species